rnacentral:lncRNA from 1 species
GCAAGAGUCAGGAUAAGAAGUAUGACACUCACAGUGAAAGCACAAAACAUCAAGCCAACAGUUCAGGACUAGUCAUUCAAAUGGACUAAAGGUGGGGGAGAAAAAAUAAGAGUGGAUAAAAGAAAGAAAGAAAACAGAGAAAGGUGGGAAAAAAAAAACAAAGGAAGGAAGAGAGAAAAGAGAAUGAGAGGAAGAGAAGGAAGGGGAAAAACAAGAUUGACUUUACAGUAUGAGAUAUACUAUUAUAUAUUGGACCCUUGGUGGGCAGUGCCUAAACAGAGACAACUACAGGUUUCUGGCUGUGGCCACUCUCUGGUGAAACUAAGGGGUUUCUGUGUGGAGGUGCCUAACAGCCACCGUCCAGUUUGGGUAAAGAAAGCUUUUUAUGGUUCACUAAGGACAAUCAACCCCUUCGCAAUCUAGAACCAAAAGACUGGAUCUUCUGAGAACAUCUACUGUAAGAACUAUAGUUACACAACAGACUUUGAAUUCUCUUGUGAAAGUUAAGGUAGAAUUGGCUGAACAGAGGAGUAUCUGUGCGGCUGCUGGCAUUUGUGGCUUAUGGAGAAACACAUUAAAUGAAGAUUACAGAGAUUCAUUGGCAGGGGAUUAACAGAGAUUGCUUAAUUAAUAGUAUGAUGCCUCUGGCUUCCCUCUAUCACACGUCUUCUUUUCGAGUAAAGGUUUUUCAUAAAUGUGAGCGUGGAAGAAGAAACCAGUUAAAUAUGGAACUUCACACCAGGACACAAAAGAUGGUGUCAGAAGCGGAUCCGAAGUGGAACUUUUAGUGACCCUCAGGAGCACUGAAUGAACAUGCAAGGAACCUGCAGGACCCACUUGUGUCCAUUGAUCUCUGGGAGCAGCUGGGAUAAGCUCCUUUUCGGAUUUCAGAGCUCCAUGGACUUGUGUCUUGAGAUCCCUGAGUUUCUUUGAGCAAAUUUCUGAUCCAAAAUGGGUUUGGCAUCAUGGCAGAAACAGGACUGGGUCCACGAAUGGAUUUGAUCCAGGAAUGAACUGGCUUGGAUCCAGUCAGAGGUCUCUUACAUCUGACUGGGUCAGAAAGGAACUGGUAGUAAGCAGUAAUAUUGCAGAGGAUGGUGUGGCAAGCUGAGUCACUAAGGCUGCUCAGGGAAAGGGAACCCAGAAUCUUGGCAUGCCGGCAAAAGGCCCAUGGUUCACUGAGGACAACUCCUUUGCAAUCUAGAACCCAAAGAUUGGAUCUUCUGAGAACAUCAGAGAAAGACUGUCCUUGCCAUCCACACUACAGCAAAGCUUUGGAGCCUUGAACCUUGGGUUCAUGAUCUUACAACUGAGAAGGGCCCCUCCACACUCCUGAACUGUACAACCAUUGAAACUCUUAAGGUAAAAUUAACUAGGAAAGUUUAUCUCCUUAAGAAGAUGGCAUCCUUGAUGUGAACAGCUUUUCCCAAGAUCCUGGAUCAAAACGUCUACUAUCACGAGACUCUUAUAUUUGAAUAUAUUUUCCGGUUUAUGCCUUUAGGAACAAUUGAAAUGAAAGGGGGAUCUAUUAUGUGCACUUAUAGGGUAUACUUUUAUUUGUGAAGGAUUUUGCAUCCAGCCUUAUAUGAAUAACCUUGUACUUUAAUAGAUAAAAGAUGAAGGCUCAAUGUAGGUGAGAAAAUGUAGUGGUACAUAUGUUGCCUCAUAAUCAGUCAAAACUCUUCUUAACCCACAUAAUGGAUUAAAGAGAAUAUUGCCAGGAGGCCUUCGCUUUUCUAAAAUGACAUCAUUUGUUAGGUCCUUUUUCCAUAGUUUAGUAUAAAAGAGGCAAUAAUUAGAAAUGUCACCCUCAUAAUAGGCUCUACAGCAAAUUCUACUUUAAAGGCUAUUGUUACACAACAGACUUUAAAUUAUCUUGUAAAAGUUAUGCUAAAUAAUAGAAUUGGCCAAACAGAAAAGUACCUGUGCAGUUGCUGACACCUGUGGCCUAUGGAGAAAUACAUCAAAUGUAGAUUAUACAAUUUCAGUUGUAGGGGAUUAAUGAAAAGACCACCUAGUCAAGCAAGUAGGCUCUUCAUAUAGCUCAUUCUUUAAUCUAUUUAAUUUUACAUGGUUUGGUUUAUGGGGACCCUGGGUAAGGAGCACACUCCAAAUUUGUUAUUAUUCUCCCAGUACUCAUAAUGAUAGUCUCCCUGAUGUGCUAUAUUCUCUUAAAGGUUUUAAAUGUUUGCAUGCAGCCAUCUCUAGAACAUCAAAUGGUCUCUAUUCAACCAGAAUGACAAAAGCUGAAAGAAAUGUGUGACCCUGAGGAUAUCGUAACCUACGAAUGAUGUGCUGAGACUGGAAACCCUAAAUGAUGUUACUGAGAAUGGCACUAAGGCCUUAAGUUUUGGUCACACUGUCACCUAAGUGAGAACCUGGCUGAAAAGGGAGAAUUUUUAAACAACAAAAUUAGAGGAAGCCACUAUUUUGGACUGAGCUCAUGCACUAGGCCCCAACAAACGAAACCAAGCUAAAAUGGAGUCACUCAUCCUAAAUGUGACAUAAUCAAACCAAGGCUUUAAGAACACAGAUAGAUGCUAGAACAGACUACAUUUUGUUUUUCUCCUGUAAACAGGAUGUCUAUCAUAAGGAGGUACCGUCUACUCAGUCCUUAUUCUCUCCUUGCAAAACCCACUUUUCUACUGUUUCCCAGUGGGUUUCAAACCAUAUAAUACAUUUAUGAUAGUGAUAUUAACAUCAAUGACUAAGGUUUUGGUCAAUCUCUCAAAAUUGAGAAAAUGACCAAAAGAGGGAAAUGAUUGCUAAAGCAAACUAAAUAUGGCCUGGGAAGAACUCCAUAGUCUUAUAUUUGAGUUCUUGCAGAUGAACUGUAACUUAGCUUAAUAGUCAGACAAAACUGAAAACCUAACUUAAUAGUAUGCGUCUGUAACAAUGGCUGAGUGUUCGCUAAUCCCAGCGGCCAUACUUCAACCACUCAUAGACUGCUGAAAGUUCAAAGUGCAUUCAAAUAAGGCAAAAACGGAGCUUAACCAGCCUCACUGUUUCUGUAUCUCACUUCCGAUUCCUGUAUGUCACUUUACCUUUUUUGUCUAUAAAUGUGUUCUGACCACGAGGCACCCCAGGUCUCUGUGAAUCUGUUGUAAUUCUGGAGGUGCCUGAUUCGCCAAUCAUUCAUUGCUCAAUUAAACUCCUUUAAAUUUAACUCAGCUGGACUUUUCCUUUUAUCAGGUUGAAUUUUACAUAUCUACUUUAGAUUUUAAUUUCUUCUAUAAAUUAAAAUCUAAUCUUCCAUAAUUUCUGAUAAAAUGUUUGUUAAAUGAACUCAAUGCAUUGGACAAAAAUUUCCUGUUGCUUUUCUUUCAAAGUACAUAAAUUGAUGCUACUUUUUCCACCUUUCUCACAUUUUCUCUGUCCCAAUCUUACACUGGAGGUUCAAUAGUCUUCUUCAUGCCUCAAGUUCUUUCUCUUGUAAUAUGAAAGGCAUGUGGCCACUUUCCUUUUCUAAUUCUUUCAUAAAUCUAAACAUUUUCACUACCUAUUGGUUACUAUGCUCACCAUCUGGGUGAAGGCAUCAUUUGUACACAAAAUCUAUAAAAUAUACUAUUUACUUAUGUAAAAAACCUAAACAUGUACCUGCUGAACCUAAAAUAAAAGUUGAAAAAGAAAAAUAAAUAAAUAAUACCUUCCCAGAAUAUUGCCUAUAGGAACAAGUCUAAAUUCCUUAAUACAGAGUAAAAUGGUAAUAAAAUUCUUGCCCUGAUUUUCUUUCUUAGGCCUAUGUCAUUUCAACACUCCCCAUCACCAUUCUUCCCCAAUCUCUUCCAUUUUUUGAGUCUAAAAUCCUUAAUACAUUGAAUUUUUGUUCAAUAUUUGUUAUAUGCCCAAAACUAUGCUAAGCUGCUGGACUCGUGCUCUUUCACAAUUCCUUUUCUGUUCCUUUCAGACUAGUGAAAUGAUACUGAUUUUUAAUGAUCUGUCUUUUCUUGGAAAUUUCCUAUUUCCAAAUGUCAAAAAAAGAACUUAUAAUUUUUGUCUCUCCAUUUCCAUAACACUUAUCAAUGUCACUGACAUAGCCCUAAUAAUUAUGAGAUGUACAUUGUUAGUUACACACAUUUCUUGUUUUCCUACUUUUGAUGUCUUUAAGGUCAGAGAUUGUAUUUUACUCGUUUGUAUUCCUAUCAGAAAAAAAACUGUGGCUUACAUGUAAUAUACAUUCAGUAAUUGUUUGAAUGAAAAAUGUAUUAAAAUAGUAUGAGUAUCCAAGUUGGUGAUUCAAUUUAGUUAAUCUCUUCUGAUACCCCUACCCCAAAAAGGCAUAUGUAAAAGUGCAUAAAAUUGUGUGUAUGAAUAUGUAGAUCAAUAGAUAGAAGCAUCUGUGAACACAAAUAAGAAAUUUAGGAAAUGAUUAUCUUAGAAACUCUUUAGCAUCAAAUCUUAUUUAUUUAUUUAUUUAUUUGCUAUAGCUUUUGGGGAAAAGUUGGAUUUUUGUUACAUGGAUAAGUUCUCUUGUAGUAAUUCCUGAGAUUUUGGUGCACACUGUACCCAAUCUGUAUUCUUUAUUCCUCACCCCUCUCCCCGCAUUCCCCUUGAGUCUCUGAAGUCCCUUAUAUCAUUCUUACGCCUUUGCAGCCUCAUAACUUAGCUCCCACUUAUAAGUGAGAUCAUACAAAAUUUGGUUUUCCAUUCCUGAGUUACUUCACUUAGAAUAACUGUUUCCAGCUCCAUCCAGGUUGCUGAAAAUGCCAUUAUUUCAUUCAUUUUUAUGGCUGAGUAGUAUUCCAUGGUGUAUAUAUGCCACCUUUUCUUUAUUUACUCUUUGGCCAGUGGACAUUUAGGCUGAUUUCAUAUUUUUGCAAUUGUGAAUUUUGCUACUAUACACAUGUAUGUGCAAGUGUAUUUUUCAUACAAUGACUUCUUUUCCUCUGGGUAGAGACCCAGUAGUGCGAUUGCUGGAUGAAAUGCUAGUUCUACUUCUAGUUAUUUAAGGAAUCUCCAUACUGUUUUCCAUAUGGGUGGUACUAGUUUACAUUCCCAACAGCAGUAUAAAAGUGUUCCCUUUUCACCAUAUUCACGCUAAUAUUUAUUAUUUUUUAUUUUUAAUUAUGGUCAUUCUUGGAUCUCAUUGUAUUUUCAAUUUGCAUUUCCCUGGUAAUUAGAGAUGUUGAGCAUAUUUUCAUGUUUGUUGGCCAUUUGGAUAACUUUUUCUGAGAAUUGUCUGUUCAUGUCCUUUGCCCACUUUUUAAGUUUAAUUUAAUACUAAUCCUACUAUUAUAUAUAUAUAUAUAAG